UAAGGAAUAUUGGUCAAUGGACGCAAGUCUGAACCAGCCAUGCCGCGUGGAGGAUGAAGGCCCUCUGGGUUGUAAACUUCUUUUAUCUGGGACGAAACACUUCUUUUCUAAGGAGCUUGACGGUACCAGGUGAAUAAGCACCGGCUAACUCCGUGCCAGCAGCCGCGGUAAUACGGAGGGUGCAAGCGUUAUCCGGAUUCACUGGGUUUAAAGGGUGCGUAGGCGGACAUGUAAGUCCGUGGUGAAAUCUCAGGGCUUAACCCUGAAACUGCCAUGGAUACUAUAUGUCUUGAAUGUUGUGGAGGUUAGCGGAAUAUGUCAUGUAGCGGUGAAAUGCAUAGAUAUGACAUAGAACACCAAUUGCGAAGGCAGCUGGCUACACAAAUAUUGACGCUGAGGCACGAAAGCGUGGGGAUCAAACA
rnacentral:rRNA from 1 species